rnacentral:rRNA from 1 species
UAGGGAAUCUUCCACAAUGGACGAAAGUCUGAUGGAGCAACGCCGCGUGAGUGAAGAAGGUUUUCGGAUCGUAAAGCUCUGUUGUUGGUGAAGAAGGAUAGAGGCAGUAACUGGUCUUUAUUUGACGGUAAUCAACCAGAAAGUCACGGCUAACUACGUGCCA